GAUGAACGCUAGCUACAGGCUUAACACAUGCAAGUCGAGGGGCAGCAUGGUCUUAGCUUGCUAAGGCCGAUGGCGACCGGCGCACGGGUGAGUAACACGUAUCCAACCUGCCGUCUACUCUUGGACAGCCUUCUGAAAGGAAGAUUAAUACAAGAUGGCAUCAUGAGUCCGCAUGUUCACAUGAUUAAAGGUAUUCCGGUAGACGAUGGGGAUGCGUUCCAUUAGAUAGUAGGCGGGGUAACGGCCCACCUAGUCUUCGAUGGAUAGGGGUUCUGAGAGGAAGGUCCCCCACAUUGGAACUGAGACACGGUCCAAACUCCUACGGGAGGCAGCAGUGAGGAAGAUUGGUCAAUGGGCGCAGGCCUGAACCAGCCAAGUAGCGUGAAGGAUGACUGCCCUAUGGGUUGUAAACUUCUUUUAGAAAGGAAUAAAGUCGGGUAUGUAUACCCGUUUGCAUGUACUUGAUGAAUAAGGAUCGGCUAACUCCGUG
rnacentral:rRNA from 1 species